rnacentral:rRNA from 1 species
AUUGAACGCUGGCGGCAGGCCUAACACAUGCAAGUCGAACGAGUGGCGGAAGGGUGAGGAAUGUCUGGGAAACUGCAUGAUGGCGGGGGAUAACUACUGGCAACGGUCGCUAAUACCUCAUACCAUCAGAUGUGCCCAGAUGGGAUUAGCGAGUCAGUGGGGGAAAGGCUCACAUGGGCGACGAUCCCUAGCUGGUCUGAGAGGAUUACCAUCCACACUGGAAGUGAGACACGGGCCAGACGCCUACGGGAGUCAGCAGUGGGGAAUAUGGCACAAGGGGCGCAAGCCUGAUGCAGCCAUGCCGCGUGUAUGAAGAAGGCCUUCGGGUUGUAAAGUACUUUCAGCGGGUAGGCGUUACCCGCAGAAGAAGCACCGGCUAACUCCGUGCCAGCAGCCGCGGUAAUAC